rnacentral:lncRNA from 12 species
AUGCUGUCGGAGAAUGUGCAUUGUUUCCUCCCCGGGGAACACCAGACAGAAAGUUGUGGGAAAUACUUUGCUCACACCCACCAUGUUCCCAGCUCAGAAUUAGCAAACCUCCAGCUUCUCCAUGAGCUUUGCACCCCCUGGACUUCUCCUGUUCCCUCCCAUCAUUCUCCUGCCUGGGCGGACCCAGCCCAUACCUGUCUGUGGCGCCUCAGGGCUGUGGGUGCUCCAACCAGGUUCUGCCGGGGAAAGGAGGAGCAGAGAGCUAAGCACUUUGUCUUGGAGCCCCAGCCUGAGCCCAGCUGGGGUCUGAGCCCUGGCAGAGCAAUCAGGCUGGGCUCCAGCGUGCUGCUCCUCUGCAGACAUUUGGAGGUUCCUCCUCAGUGCUGCUGUCCAGGCACUGCCCUUCCCUUCCUCCUCAGAGUUCGGGCCUGUAAAUACAAGCCUCCAGGACAGUGUGUGUGUGUGUGUGUGUGUGUGUGUGUGUGUGUGGGUGUGUGCACCCUAUUUCGUGCAUCACAUUUUCUUUAA